rnacentral:lncRNA from 1 species
AAAUUUUGAUUUGGUUUUUCAAUUUUUGAUUUUAGAAAGUGUGCACCGUAUAUUAAACCAAACUAAUUCGGUUCGGUUUUUUCUACUUCGGUUCGAUUUAGUUCGGUGUUUUUAAAAUUGAUUUUUCGGUGUGAAUGAAAAUAAAAUAAGGAUAAAGUAUAAGAUACUUAGAAAUUUAAAACUAUAUUAAGGAAUGAUGAGUAUUACCGUGGAA